GGAAUGAGCCUUCAAUCAGAGGGAGGAAAACAGUGUAGACGAUCUGAUUGUCUUCGUUUCCAUCGUCCGAUUCGAUGUGGGACCCCUCUUUGGUUUCCACCAAUAAGAACUGAGUCUCGAGUGGGAUUUCACUGCCAUGGUCGCCCAUUUUCUGAGCCAUCCACCACAACUUGAACCUGAAACAGGCCAAGAAACGAACGUCACGCAAAGCCCCGAUGGGGAGCACGUGCCUGCUGUUUUCUUCAUCGAAAGCCGCGCCAAUGAAGACUCCCUCGACGGGACCGGAAGUCGAACCGGACGUCGUGAUCAAAUUGUCCGGCACUCCGGUUAGGAUCGUACGAUCCUUUACAAUUAGCUUCCUCUCGGCGAUCCUAACUACUGGUUUGAUCGUCAUCUCUUUAACUUCUUCUUCUUCUUCUUGAAGCUUCUUUCGAGGUGUAGUUAGCUCGUCUCUCUGAAAUUCCAAGAAGAAAAUUAACAUACAUAAAAAGACUUAACAAGCAAAAUGAGUUGAACAAUUUAAUUACCUUAAAAGAGAAGACCGAGAAUGAAGGAUUGGAAGAAUAUCUGCGAAUUCGAAGGCAUGAAGCCAAUAAACAAGAGCUUGUUAGAAACUGGCAGAAAUAAAAAGUUUCUUCAGAAAUGAAAGGAUUGGAGAAAUUAGAAAAAAAAUAAUAAUAUACCAGAAUCAGAAUGCUUCUUGGUUAAAACGACGAGUUUUGAUUUUGAGCUUGAGAAUGAGAUGCUGUUAAUAGAGCACGAUGUGAAUGAUGGGACAGAUGAGGACGAAUGAAUUAGAGGCUUGUUAUUUAUAGUGGGGGAUCUGAAACUGUAACAAGAAUUUGACACCAUUUUUUUUUUCUAUUGGUCUCCCUCUCUGUAUAACUUUCUUUUCGGUUUCGAUCUUCUCGUCCUCGUUCUCAAAGCAUUAUAUCGUGUUUCGCGCCACGUCACACUCAAUCCAACGGCGCUAAAAUAUCCUUCACCAGAGAUUACGUUCCCACGUCGGAUCCACGCUGUACCAAGGUUCAAUCAGAUAAUUCCAUGUACCAAAUAAGUUCUAAUACGUGGACUUUAUUAGGUCAUGCGCGUAGAUUAAAUCAAAUGCGCUGAUGUGUGUCCACGUACUCGGUUUCCGUCGCGCACUCGAAAAUUCAAUUUAAAAAUCAUAAAACAAUUUCCCAUGAAAUUUUGUUACGCGGCCUCUGGGAAGUGUGAACUGAAACGGCAUCGCGAGGCAUCCCCCUCGUGACCGUCCCACGCGGCACCAGGUCAUCAGCUGCCGGUGCCUUGGCUGCUCGUUUUGGCUAACCACAACCACCCACUAUUUUGUCCAAGUCAACAUCGAUAGUUCCAUAUCUUGGUAACUAAGCAAUAAUUAUUUUAAAUUUGGACGCAUAUCUAAUUUUCUCGUCUAAUAAAUCCCCGCGGCCAAAAUGUCUGAAACAAGUGUCCCGGGCAUCUUUUCUUGUGCUUGGAGAAUUUGAUUAGAGUGUUCGAAGGGGCCAACCAUGAUCAAUCAUCGAUGGUACACGUAAGGUUACAUAUGGGCCCUUGAUUUCAAUGAUUCCCUAUAUUUAUGUUAAUUUUUUUGUUUAUUGUGGGACCUAAUAAUGCUACUGCACCACAUGGGAAAUCGGGGCAAGUGGAAUGCAUGUUGCUGGGAGCUAUCAUCAUCAUAGGUCCCGAGAUUCUGGAUUUACACGAUUACUCCGAUUCCAGUCAUUUAUGAAUCAUCAACAAUUUAUUUUAUCAUAUAUUUUUACACGUAUCCAAAAUUCCACAUAAUUUUUCGAUUUUAAAUCAUGUGUUGUUUAUAUCAACAUACAAAUCAAUUAUUGGAGUGCAUGAUUGAUCACCCGUGCUUAUCAGUUUGUAAAUCAAUCAAUCCUAUUGACACCUCGUUUAAGAAAUUGUUAAAUUUAUGGCUGCAACUUGAUCCAGGUGUCACUCUCGUUUCUGUAUUUCAUUUUAGUACGAUGUACGUCUCAAAAAAUGGAUGGGCUUAGGUAGAGUGCGCAGUAAAUAAUAUUCAAAUUUAUUGCUGAUAUUGCACACUUUACAAUUUCUUAUGGGUGGUUGAGCUUCUUAAGUCGCAAUUCAUUUUUCACCAAAAUCGUAUUUGAAUCUUGAUAUUUUCCUACUCAAUAAAAUGAUUGAAGCACUGAAACCCAAUAGAUUUUCCAUCCGUCUACGUGCUUUAUAUUUUGGCUUCACAAAAAUUUUCAAGAACUUUCCACAAAAUUCAUCUUCCAAUUAGAUUUUUCAUCACGUGGAAAAUUUGUGUGCGUAAUAAAAGAAUUUCACUCCAUCACGCUACAUAAUAACGAUUGCCAAAAGCAUUACGGCUUUUACCGUUUCAUUGGACGUUUAUGUGAAGCCUAAACUUGUUAUAUUUCCACUGAUCAAAUCACGUGCGUGAUGUUUCCUUUCCACUAAUUAUGUGCCUCAGCCUCACGCACCAACUUUGGAACUAUCUGCGGUUAUUUGCUAAUUUUGCCACUAAUAUUCUUCGCCUACUAAUAGGAUUGUGAGAUAAUUAAUGAUAAAACGUGUCAGCUGUCACGUGAUAUAAGAGCUUUUAAGCAGAAAUCCCAAACAAUUGCGCUGAUUAAGUGAAAAGGACGGGACACGUGUGUGGUUAUAGUUGUUCGAACAAAAAUAUCUGAUAGUCGCGGAAGAUCUGUAUGAUGUGAAGUGCGGUCCGCAAGCUUGUCUCUGACAUCAUCAUCGUACACGAGACACGCCUUUAGUUUCCUUCGUACUCCUUUUGUCUCCACGAGUUUUUAACCGUACGAUACCGGCGUAGAGAACACUGAAAACUCGCUUUGUCUAGCCGACACCUGUCAUAACCACGCGUUUCUGGAGGUUAGAUUAAGAUUACUUCCUGUGGGGGUAGUUUUGCUAUGGUAGCGUGGGUGAAAGCAAGCGCGUGAGAUGGCAGGAGAGGACUGGGUGCUUCGCGAAGUUAGAAAUGUUCGAUGGAGUGUAACUUGAUGUAGGGUGUAGAUGAGUCUGGAAAACGGUGAUUGAUGAACCAGUGAUGCUGUGAAAAUCUCGUGAAUAUUCUUGAUGUUUAAAAUGGUAAAGUUAUGGUAUGCUGGUGCUUCGUCACCCAUUUUGGGGACAAUGGCAGCGAGAAUGGCGAUUGGGUAACGUGGGGUCGGGUGAUGAAUUCUUUGGCUCAACUAUCUUAAAAUAAAAUUCUCCUUAGAAAAUUUUCUCAUUCUCAUUAGGCAAUUGGUGAGUGCAUUUGCUGUAUGAUUGUCCUUGAAGAAUUUUAAAAACGGGGCUUAGAUAAUUACCGAUCAACUAAAUCAAAUAGGAUAAUAGAAUUUUAUAAACAGGGCUAGACACUGUAUUUUGUGAGAGCUGUAGCUAAUCUAGUCUGUAAGCUAACAUGACCUUUAAAAAUAAAUUAUAUAUAUAUUUUUUUACUAGAUUUUGAUAUGAACCACUUUUCUCUUAUAGAAACGGUCGGUGAUUGUGAGUUGUUUAAAAAAUUAAAUCAAUCCAAACAUUUGGCUAAAUUUAAACAAUUGAUUUUUGUGAAUGCUUAAUUCAAAACAUUUUUGAAAGUUAGGGUGGAAAUGAUAAGGAGAGCACGGUUAUUCGCCUAGCCAAGCACACACUCCAAAAUUAGGGUUUUGUCCUUUAAUCAAUUAUCAAAGCCUUUGCAGUUUACAACAAUGUCGAGUUCCUCCGAUCUACUGAAAGAAAUCAUAAGUCUAAUAUCUCCAAGCUCCAAUUCAAACAAAUCAUUUGGUUGCUCUUUCUCUGUUGAACUUGCAAGAAUAAUCUAAUAUCAAUCCGUCUUCAAUUCAAGCCCUAGCUCAAAGCACUCAUAGUCUGAUCACCUCAAUCUCGCUAAUACAUUUGAAGAAGAUGAAGAAAUGUAAGAAUAAGUACGCCUAUUCAUUGGAUUGAUUAAAAUGAAGGUAACGCUGUGUUACUGAAAAUAAUAACUGUGUUCUAUCCUUUUAACCCACUUUGAUUUAUUUUCUUUUUUUUUCCCUUAUCACUUGUUUAUCUCUUGAUCGCAGGCAAUAUGUGAUUUAGGUGUAUGGUGUAUAUCUAUCCAAAAAAAUAAUUUGGAGGCGUCGUUUCUUCUGCUCACUUCCAGUCACUCUUGCGGGCAGUUACUCACGCCCUUGACAAUCCUAUUGGUCCUUUGUUUAACAACAUUAGAGGCCGUACAGGUACCGGACGCAGUAAUUGUUGAUACUAUAGUGACUUGCUCUUAUUACCCUAAGCAUGGAACAUAACACAGUCUAUUAAUGCAGUAAUUCUUGUGAGGUAAUAAAAUUUCAAGACUAACUUGCAUUUAAGUUGUGUUCACAAUAAGAAAAUGUUAGCUUUGUCUUUAGAACUAAAUCUUUGAUGCUGCUGUAAUAGGCUGCGCGAUGAAGUUAUCAGCUCAAUUAAGUCAACAAAUGAGAGAAUUCUCGGACAUAUGGGUCGUUUCUUCAAUGUGUAGAGAGAGGACUUCUUACCAUUGACAAAAAGAAAAAGGGACGCGUCAGAAAAGUGUGUGCUAAAGACGAGUCCACGAUAUUUCCUCCAACACUAGCGCUGUCAAUGAGCUUGUGAUUUUCCUCUUUUAACACUUAUUUCUAAUGGAGAUGCAUAUCAAACGUAGAAAGUCGUUUAUGACGAGUGAUCCUGUUAUGCAAUCUAGCGAAAAGAUUAUUAAGUAACUGAUUCAAUUAAUAUCAAAUCGAAAUCAUAUCAUAUAACUCGAUUGAAUCACUAGUUUCUUUAAGUUUAUUUUUAUACUUUAUAAACAUUAAUAUUAUGCAUGAGAUAUUAUUUUUAUAAAUUAAUAAAUUAUUCAUUUUUUUAAUAUAUUAAUAUUUAUUAAAUUAAUAAAUUUUUUAUGAUUCUAAGACUGUCAAGAUUAUACUAUAAUAUAUAGGCAAUAUCUAUCUUACAUGCAUGUAAGAUACACUCUCCUCAUAUGAAUAGUGUGUGAGUCUCAUACAUACACUAUUUAUAUAAAAAAAAUACAUUUUACAUGCACGUAAGAUAGAGGGAUCCUAAUAUAUAAUAUAGAAAUGCCCAUGAGAAAUACAUGUCCGUGUACAAAAGCAAAAUAUGUAUCAACGUCCAACGAAGUGACGGACUGACAGCGAACCCGGAGGAGCCUGUAAUUGAUUUUUUUUUUUUUUUUAAGAGUAAAAAGAGAUGGGUGUGGUUAGAAGGUCAGAAUACUAGGGUGCUUCUGAUGACGACAUGCGCUGUUUCUCUGAAAAAAAUUCAUGGCCAGUGCAGCCCAGCCCAUCCAAAGUCUUGGCCCCCACAUAAUGAAUUGCAAAUUGCAAGACAUGAUUCUCUACAAGAGGAUGCUGUAAAAUAAGGCGAAAUAAAAAAAAUGUGGAAAUUAAUAUGAGCUACUUUUUUCAAACUAAAGACUCGUGGUAAGGGCGUUAAUACCCCAACAUAAUACGAGAUGAGUUAUUUGUAUUUUGCAACAUUAGUUUUGUAAAAAUAUUGUGCGUAAUAUUAGUGAUAUAAAUAUUUGUAUAAAUCAGUGACGUGUCAUGUCAUCUCUAUAUUUUUACAAACAAAUUACAAUGCUACAUUUGUAAAGUUUUGAUGUAAGUUCGUGUCUCCACCGAAGCGACUUAAAAUGAUAUUCAUACAACUCGUGAUGUCCUGAUGACAUAUUAAAUAAGUAAUUAUUUAACACAUAACGUAUUCUGAUGGAUAUGUAUAAUAACCAGCUGUGAUACGACUGUGUAUCACAUCAAAUAUUAUGAUGGAUAUGUAUUGUAACAACAGUGGUGCUUUCAUUAAUUUGUAAUCAUAAUAGAAUAGAAAUCGGAAUUAAUUAAAAUCCAAAUCAGAAUAUUAAUGUGUUUAUUUUAUCUUGAAAUCAAGAAUGAAUUGUUAUAAUUACUAAAAUGUACUUAGUUAACUAUUAUUAUUAUUAUUGUUGUUAUUAUUCUUAUUAUGUGUUAUAAUUAUUAUUAUGAAAAAAAUUUAUAACAACAAAAAUAUUUAUAAAAUAACAACAAUGACGACGACAAUAAUAAUAAUAAAUACAAAUGGGCAUCAUCAUUGUCAAGCAACGGUCAGCGACAACUGAGACGAAUAGUAACAAUGAUAAUCAACAAGUAAUAGUGCCAACAAGAUCGGUCUAUACAGUACUCAAUCUGAUUUUUGUAUUUCCAUUUGAAGUUUUCAAAUAUAAAGGAAAGACAAAACGAAAAUUAUAAAGUUUAAGUGGGAUAAUUUUGUGAGUCUGAAAAAUGGAGUUAUCAUUUUCAACCCCUCAUAAAAUUCAGAACUCUACUAAUCAUUUCUAAAUUAAUGUAUCCCUUACUAAUUUAAUUUCCAAUCCCCUCUUUAUUUUAAAAUUAAAUAAAUUAUUGACUCACAUUCUCAUCUCAUUCCCUAAUAAGUAAAUACAUCGAAGGAUUAUUGUAAGUCAAAUUCCACACUUCAAACUAUUACUUAUUUACUUGAAAAAGAGGUCCACCUCCGAAAAUAGCCCGAAACCAGAAGACAAAACAAAAGGAGAAUUUCCUACGACCACAAUAAGAAAAUACAACUGCAAAGUACCGAAUCAAAACUGCUAGUAAAGUUACUCAUUUGGACUCAAAACGCAGCCCGUACACUUUCUCUCGCUAUCGCAAAUUCGGUAGCAUAGGUUUUUUUCCUCUGCAAAUCGGACGCACAUUACAUACGCUCGCUCUAAUUGAACCGUACUCCUUUGCAAAUUUCCCAAAUUAAAUCUCUUUAGGUUUCCCCACAUCUCAAACAAAAUAAUAAUAAUAACAAAAAUAGAACAAAAAAAACCCCAAAGGCCAAAUCUAUCCAAAUGAAAUUAAAAUCUCUGCCUAGACUAUCGUAAAACCUAGGGUUUUUAAUUUAUAUUUUUCUACAAAAAUAUUGUUUGAUAUUUUACUGAAUCGGAUACGUUCUGUUGUCGAGAUUCAAGUUGUGUUGUACCUGAUUGCGAUUGUAGCCCCUGAUCGGUCGAUCUGGUCAUGGAUUCUCGAGAUUCAACGCAAUCGACGGCCGCUGGUAAUACCUCCGGUGAAGACGACAGUGGCGUUCUCUCCGUCACUGCCACUCUUGCUAAGGAAGCCGCUCUCUACUUUCAGUCCCGUAAGUUCGACGAGUGCCUCGAUUUGCUCAAACAGCUCCUGGAUAAGAAGCCCGAUGAUCCUAAGGUAAUUUCAAUAUUUGUCUGUGAAAUAACUUUCGGUGUUUGUUCCUUUAUACACGCUUAAUGAUGAUUCGAUCUUUUUUUUUUGCCCCCCUUUUCGUUUAGAGCUGGAAAUGAAUACGGCUCUGAUUUGUUUGAAUUGUGACGUAUAAAGUUUUGUGUGCUACUGUUAGUUUCAUUGUAAUCAUUAUUAGAAUUUUAGUUUAAACAAUGUGGAUGGUUUGUGCUCUAUUGCAUGCUAAUCAUACUAUACUAGUAUUGUCAAUUCUGGAACUAGACUAUCCAAUCCAUUUUGAGCUCUUUGAAACCUUGAAAUGUGAGUGAAUUUGGUGAAUGAUAGAGAAUGACUAAGAGUAAGCAGUAGAAAAAAAAUGUUUAUGCAAGCUAACUACUUUUAUCAGAGUAGUAUUAAUUGUUGGUGUACCAAGUAAUUUUACUGAGAAAAUACAAAAUCACUAGAAGCUGGACCGUCUGCUUAAGUUCAACAAUAGUAUGGACUAGGUCUAGGGAUUUGUUUGUGGACUGUGACUGGGAUUGGAGGGAUCUUAUGCUUACUGUUGUGGCUUACUCUAUGCUGCUGCACUAAAUUAUUCAUUCCUUUGGAAGUGCUCAUGUCCUGUAUUCAGGUUAUUGAAAUUUGAUUUUAUUAUAUGUGUAGAUGAGAAUUUAUGCAUUAUCUUCAAAAAUAAUAAUGAAUAAGUAUGAUUCUUUUACCUAAGCAGUUAAGGCCAUAUUCUAUGACCUUUGCUGUCUUUGUAGUUAGUUCCACAGCACAAUAGCAAUAGCUUUUAAUUGUCCUGAUUUUGCAACAUUUCAACGUAAGUGCAGUGUUGCGUGUCCCUUUUUAUUUUGGUGGAUGGUCUUUAAGUUCUUGGAUUGUUGAUUUUUGUUCAGAUUCUUCAUAACAUUGCAAUUGCCGAAUACUUUCGGGACGGUUGUACAGAUCCAAAGAAGCUGCUUGAAGCUCUUAAUAAUGUGAAGGUAUGAUAAUAUCUCUUUUAUAUGGAGGUUCACAAGGACAUCCUUUUUCUUGGCCAUCCAUAACCCCAUCUUGUAAUCAUAUUUUUGAAUAGUAUGAUAGAAGUUGAGAUCCAGAGGCAGUAGUCUGUCAAUCUUGGUACAUAGAUAGUUGUAAUGGAGUGAAUUUUUUUUAUUGAGGACAUCUCUUUUGGAAUUUGUCUAUAGUAAGAGGCCAUCGAUUUUCUGUAGUACGCAUUUUUUUUUUAUAGAUUUGUUUGUGGAAAUAUAGACAUAUAUCCUUCUUAAACAGUUGAGCUAAUGGGGAGGUAGAUCUUCCUCCCAAAAGGAGCAAUAUUCAUACUGGACGGUUUUGUGGAACAAAUAUAUUCACUUGUUUACUAAUUAAAUCUAUCUAACUGUAUCUUGCUUCUUUACCUUUCAUCUACUGUUUGAAAGUAUUCCCAGUCAUUUUUCAGAUCUUUUUUCAGAGUGCAAGCGUGAAUAUAAUUGCUGUUAAAAAAACAUGUUUGACCUUCAUUGCAGCCUGAUUAGGUGGUCUUGAUUUGGAUUAUUCUUUAUGGAGGUUGUGUGGAAUGAUUUCCAAGAGAUUUCUCUUGCCCUGCAUGGUCGGAACUUGAAAUUUAAUAGGUUCAGUUUUGUGCUCCUCUAUGAUAGGCUGCUUUAUUUUAUUAAUAAUUAUUUUUCGUCCUUUCUUUCUGAAUUUCUCUAAUUUAACUAGAAAAAGGAUAGGUCAUAAGAGAAUCAUCAUCAUCAUUAUUAUUAUUUAUGUUAUGAAAGAGUAGGUUGUUUUAUACUAAGAUUUUCAGCACAUUAUGUAAUGUAUUCAUCUUGUUAUACUAAUAUUUUCAGCAAAUAAUUAUUCAUUUUGUUUUGAUUCUGAAUGAUUUCUCAUCCAUUUCUUCUUUGGUGCUGCUGUAGAACAAAAGUGAAGAACUUGCACGUGCAACUGGGGAACAGACGGAGGGUGGUGGCAAUAUUGGAAAUAAAGUCGGUUUGGGGUCUAAAGGAAGUGGCGUUGUGGGAAAUCAAGUUUCUGCUGCUAAUAGUGGGAGUUUAGUAUACAUGGAUGAGUUUGACGUGUCUGUCGCAAAACUGAACAUUGUAUGCUUCCUUGAUCUUCAAGUAGCUUAUUGAAUUGCUAUAAUUAGUUUUGAGUGUUCAACCAAAGGAAUUUAACUUUUAUGCUAUUUGUUUCUGAAAUGACUUCUUGUUUCAAUUUUGUAUAGGCGGUUAUCUGGUUUCAUCUUCAUGAAUAUGCAAAGGCAUUAUCAGUUUUAGAGCCUUUGUACCAAAAUAUAGAACCAAUAGAUGAGGUACAACUAGUUUUUGCCUGACUUUUGUUUAGGUUGUUGUAAUGAUGUGCUAACUGCUUUUCUAACUUUUAAACGCAGACAACGGCGCUUCAAAUUUGUCUCUUGUUGCUUGAUGUUGCGCUAGCUUGCCAUGAUGCUUUCAGAUCUGCUGUAAGUGAUUAUGAUUACAUCGUGGUUUUUGCAAUUUUUCAAACUUCACUGUUUUCCUGUAUGUUUCCAGCAGGCUGAUUCUGUGUUAAGCAGUAAUGAAACUUCAUCUGAUAGAAGAUCUGUGGUUCAGUUUUCCUACCACUAAGUUUUACUUUGUAAAAAAAAUGUUGUGAUGCAUGGAGGAAUCAUGCUACGUGUUAGUUGAAAGCCUUUUUAUAGGAAAUAUUUUUAGAGGCUGCAUAACUAGUGAUAACUUCCCCCCUUUCUCUCAAUUCAUCUUUUCCAGUUUCUUGUCAGAAAAGACUGGUGAAUGUUGCCCUAGAGUUUUCUUCUAUGGUCUUUAAUUGCUUGGUGAACUGUGUGAACAACUUACUUUUGGAAGAGACGUCAAUACAAUCAUUUUCAGAGUAGACGGUGUUUUAUUCAAAGUUGAAUUCUUUGUGAUUAGAAUAUGUUAAGUAUUAAUAACUGGAAUCUUAAAUUUGAUUGUAAUCCAAAUUUAAUUCUUAUGAUGAAGUGCAUGCUAUCUGUAUUCUGUAUCGUAAUUCACUUGGUUCAAUCUCAUCAUUUUGUGCUGUCGAUUACAAACAAUGUUGCUGAACCAUUCCAUUAGAAUCAGAAUUGCAUUCUAUUUGUGUACACACGAGACACGACUCUUUUUUUUGCCCCAGCAUUAUGCUUUAUUAAAUAGCUUUUGCAUUUCAUGGGUUUUACUACUUGUGCUUUGAAAAUUAUUUACCUUAUAAUUUGUCUUGUGAGGUUAUCUUUGUUUUCUUUCUAUCCUUGUUUCAGUAAUGAUAACCAACUCUUCAACCCCUCUCUCGUUCCCUCCAUGUCUGUGCGUAACUGUGUGUACAGUGUUGGGAAAUUAUUGUUGUAAACUGAGUUUUUGGAGUGGAGGAAGGCAUUUUAUUUUCCAAAUUUUCUUGCCACAUAGCUAGAUAUGCAUUUCAUCCAUAUGAGGAAGCUUGCCUAACCUUUUUAAUUAAAACAUUUUUGAAGUGUAAUACUUCUAAUGUUCUUGGCCUGGCAAGCCUUGUGUAGAAGACGAUUGAUACUUUUAUGAAAUUGUUUCAACUUUUGGUAAAAGUUUUGUAUCAGGAUUGCUGCUUGUUUUGAUGAUUGUUGUGAAUUUUGUUGUGAACCUUCUUGUGUGUGAUUGUAAUAAAGUUGAUUUACUUUGUAACUAUUUUGCUGACAUUUUGUCUUGGAUAUGAGGUCUUCUUUACUGUUUUUGCAACUGAUAAAUUGUAUCAUAUUAAGUAUUCUCCAUUGUGAUUCUUGAUGUACAGGAUGUGUUACUAUAUUUGGAAAAAGCUUUCAGUGUUGGUUGUGUGAAUCAAGUUGAUAGUGGUAGCAUGGGACAACAAUCGACUAAUCUACUUGCAAAAUAUUCCUCUGUGCCAAGCAAUUCAUCAACUGCAGAUGCUUCUAAUUCCGAUUUGGCUGCUACAGUAAAUGCCUCGGAAAAUGCUUUGUCAAGAACUCUAUCAGAGGAAACACUUGAAGAUGAUACAGUGUUAGCAUUAUCAAGCCUGGAGAUCAGUGGUCAGAAUUUAACAAGGCCAGUCGGUCUUUCUUCAAAUGAACUUUCGAGGACCCUUGUUGAUAGGUCCAUCUCUACUGUUGAUCUUAAACUGAAGUUGCAACUUUACAAGGUUCGAUUUCUUCUCCUCACUAGGAACCUAAAGCAUGCAAAGCGUGAAGUCAAGCUUGCAAUGAACAUUGCACGUGGGAAAGAUUCAUCCUUGGCUCUCUUCUUGAAGUCCCAGCUUGAGUAUGCCCGUAGGAACCACCGUAAAGCCAUUAAGUUGUUGCUGGCGUUAAGUAACCGGACAGAGAUGGGGAUUUCAAGCAUGUUCAACAACAAUCUUGGCUGCAUUUAUUAUCAACUUGCAAAAUAUCAUACAUCAUCAGUAUUCUUAUCCAAGGCACUAAGUAAUUCUGCAUCUCUUCGGAAGGACAAACCUCUGAAACUGCUAACUUUCUCCCAGGAUAAAUCUCUCCUCACAACAUAUAAUUGUGGACUGCAGUAUCUGGCUUGUGGGAAACCAGUACUAGCGGCUCGCUGUUUCCAGAAGUCAAGUUUAGUUUUCUAUAAACAGCCUCUAUUGUGGCUCCGACUUGCUGAAUGCUGCCUAAUGGCUUUGGAAAAGGGACUUGUAGCACCAGGUAGGUCUUUAUCUGAUGGAUCAGAAGUUAAGGUUCAUGUUAUUGGCAAAGGGAAGUGGAGAUAUCUUGUAAUGGAGGACGGGUUUCGAAAAAAUGGACAUGUGGAUUCUCCGGAGAAGGAUGAUUCAUCUCUGGGCAGUGAUGGACAGCCUAAGCUCUCGAUGCCCCUUGCCCGGCAAUGUCUCCUUAAUGCCUUGCACUUGUUGAACUAUCCCGACUUAAAUUAUUCGAAGUUUGGUUUGCCCUCGAAUUCAUCUGUGGAGGAAAGUGAGUCAAGCGAAGGGGCAUCUUCCAAGAACUUGAACCACAAAAGCUUGUCCAGUCUUGAUUCCAAAAUAUCAGUAGGCUUAGGUCAGGUUACUGCAAAUGGUGAUGCAAAAGAUCAAAAAGGAGGAACUAGUCUGGAGGUCAUACAGAACUCUCUUUCUUAUUAUGAAGAUGUCUGUAGAAGAGAAAAUCAGAUGAUUAAGCAAGCUCUCCUUGCCAAUUUGGCAUAUGUAGAAUUGGAAAUGGAAAAUCCCGUGAAGGCCCUUGCUGCCGCAAGGUCUCUCUUGGAACUCCCGGAUUGUUCAAGAAUUUACAUUUUUCUGGGUCAUAUCUAUGCAGCUGAGGCUCUGUGCUUGCUGAACAGGCCCAAAGAAGCGGCUGAGCAUUUUUCGAUGUAUUUGAGUGGAGGAGAUCAUUUUGAUUUGCCAUUCAGUGGAGAGGACUGUGAGCAAUGGCGAGUAGAGAAAAUCAUUGAUUGUGAAGAACUAAAUGGAGGGCCAGCGGCUGCUAAGAAUCCUUCCCCUGAGGACUCACGAGAUACCAUGUUUCCCAAGCCAGAAGAAGCACGUGGAACACUUUAUGUGAAUAUUGCUGCAAUGUUUGCAAUGCAAGGUGAAUUUGAACGAGCCCAUCAUUUCGUGACACAAGCAUUAUCCAUAUUACCCAGAAGCACAGAAGCCACUCUGACAGCAAUUUAUGUGGAUCUUAUGCUUGGCAAGUCACAAGAAGCUCUUGCCAAGUUGAAAUACUGUAAUCACGUCAGAUUCCUCCCCAGUGGUUUACAAUUGAGUAAGUCUUGCUGAUGAUGUUGUAAUCCGGUGGCUUUUUAUUCUUUGUGUCUGGUCCUCCCCUUGGAGCUAGUUAGCAGGUAGAUCAGCAAUCCUUCUAGAGGAUUUGUAACAUAUAUAUAGUUCAAUUCAGAGAAUAAUUUUUUUUUUUUUAACUGUUAAUUUUCUUCCGGUUGUUCAUUUUUAGGGUCCAUUGAUAUGUGGUGAGGCGGAGUGUUUUGGUUAUAGCGGAUGCCCACCUUUUACAUUUGAGAUUUAGUUCUGAUUCAGAUUUUUGUCUUUUAGUGGCUGAUCCAUUUGGUAUUAAAGAAGCAGAGAAAAUACCAUGUGCACUUCUUUAGAUUGAAACGACAAAGAGAGGAAAAUUCUUUUCUGAAUUUGGAUUCCCAGAUAUGUUAUGGUUAUAAGAAUUGUUAGAAUUGAGUCGGUUUCUGUUGGAGGCUCUCGAAUUGCUGUAUUUUAUGAUGUGGAUACAUGCUCUUUAAUUAAUUAGGAGAUGCUAGAAUGCUUACCUGGGAAAGUAAUGAUAUACUGGGCUCGCGGUGGGAAGUGGGAACAAGUUCUCUUGUUGCAAGCACGUAGAUACGGAUCAGAUUCAUCUGAUGUACCGCAAGUUUUUUCUCACAGAACUGAGAAAUAUGAUACAAAGCCUGAUGUACGCUUGCAUUAAAUCAAGUUACAUGUCCGCUACCCACUAGAUUCAUUUGACUGUGAAUAGUUUUGCUUGGGCGGCAAGGGAACUUUUGAUCGUCGAGAUAACAAGUAGUACGUGGAAAACAAAAUCAAUAAUGGAGGUCAGGCAAGUUGUGUCGGGUCAUCUCAAGUUUUGGCUCCAUUUCCCUUAACCUGAUGAUUUCAAUUCUCUUUUCGCAUUCUUUGAUAUAUUAGUUCAAACUUCAAAGGAUGAGCAUGAUGGUUCCGCGUUCCGCUUAUAGUAGUGGGUCCCUUCGAAGCCCAUAAACAACAAACAAAAUGUUGCUACUUUAAUAGUAAUAAUAGUAUCACACAAGACAGGAGUGUGUGUGUCUAUUUCCAAUUGGUUUAAAUGAUAAGAUCUCUUCUCAAAAAAAUUAGAAAGAAGAGGUUUUAGAAUCAAACUUCAUUUUAUUCAUUCUAACAUUGGGAUGGCGUUGGCUCUAUCUUUGGCUUCUAUUGAAUUUUCCAGGAGGUGGUUUCCGCUCCUGUCUGAUGAAAUCUUAUAUCGAAUGUAUAAAUUAAAAUGCAAAACAGACUAAUGAGUCAAUAAUACUUCAUCGCUGUUCUAACAAAGUUGGGCGUUCGGGACUGCUGCCACCGCCGCAGCGCAUUCAAGCAGACACUAAGCCGACAUAUUUUCUAUCUUUAUUUCAUGCUUCACAAUUCAUUUUCUAACCUUUAUCUAUGAAGUAUGAUAUAUUCUCCAUUUUCAUUCGUUGUGUAAGAUGAACUCUACAUUAAAUAAAGUAAUUUUAACGAAAUCAGUACACCAACAAAAAAAAAAAGAGAGAGAGAGACCAAAAAACCUCAAAGAUUGGGAUAUAAUUCUUUCAUAAUUAACUAAUCAUUUGAGGUACAAUUUUUAAAAAGAUAGUAUCACUAAAAAGAAAGGUUGCGAACUUAUUCCACAUGCAUUUUCUUUUUAUUUUUUUUCCCAAUAAUUUCUUCUUAUUAAAAAAUUAUGAUGACUCAUCUUUCCAAGUUUUAUCAAUUGAUUGGUUCCUUUUUCCAUAUUAACCUUCACCUGUAAAAUCAUUUUUAAAAGCUCCCUUAUGGUUACACAUAUAUCCCAGUCCCACAACAAUCGACUAACUUAAACCACGAAACAAUUAUAUUCCUCACAUAUAUUGGGGUCUCUUUUCUUUCACUAAACUAGUUACCAAACACCUAAACAAAAUUAUUUACAAUGGACAUUUCAUAAAUUUUAUAAGAGAAUUUAAAAACACCAAGGCAUCUGUUGAUGUCGAACAAGAGCGGGGAACCCAUCAAGCGCACAGACACCACACGUUACACUGGGAGAAAAGACAAACUAAGUUCAUGUGACUUGGUUUUAUACUUUUAUGGUGGCCCCUUACAACUUCAACCCUACAUGGGCAAUAAUUUUACGUACUCUUCCUUUUUGAGUUUUAUCAAAAUAUUGCAUAGCUUAUCAUUAUUCAAAAUUACUGCACAAUUCCUAUCCUCUUGUGCUAAGUUUUAGUGUUUCUUCAUUGGUACAAUUUUAUAGAACAAUGGUAUAGAAAGAUUUGGGUUUGAACUUCUAUUCACAUAGGUGGAGAGAAAAUUUAGUUUCUAUUCAUCCAAAUACUUGAUUUACUUAUUUUACCACUAAAAGCUUGCUAAUUCAUAUUAAAGAUGGCCCAAAUUGUGUUUAUAUCUUUGAUUCAUUCAUUUUCCAUUAAAUUUGUAAACUCACAUAACUAGUACUAGUAACACUCACCUAAAAUAGUUCAUUAAGGUUUAAUUUCAGUAUGACGUCCUAACAAGGUGAGCUCUUUGUCUCUCUCUUCAAUUUUUUAUAAGAGCUAUUACCUUAUAUAUAGAUAAGUAAUUUAUUAACCUCCUUUACAAUUCUAUCUCUAAAGGGUUAUAUUUUUUCGAUUUUGAGUCUCCACUUUCUACCCAUAGAUUUCUUUAAGUGUUCUUUGAAUGGUAAUUGAAAGAAUUAAAGAUGCUUUCAUAGUCCCUAUACUUCACUUUAAUUAUUUGUACAACACUUUUUAGCUAGCUAGACUUGUGAAAGUUAGCAUAUAUAGAACACUCGAAAUCCACAACCAGCAUGUCUCCGUACCUCUAUAUUUCUUGUUUAUAAUAGCUUUAGAACAAUUUUAAAAUUGAGCGUGGGACUUUUAAAAUAUCAUAGUUGAUGUAAAAUGGAAUCACUGGCUCUUCAUUAGUUAUAAUAAGAUAGAUAGUUGAUUAAAAUUAUUAAUUACUGGUAUUAAUAUUCACCAAACGCUUUACGUAUUAUGCACUACCUAUGGAACACUUGCUAAGUCAAGAACCUCGCGCUGUUUUUCGGUUCUAUAAUUAAAUCAGGGUUUGCUUCACUUUUCUCUUUUAAUGCUAUUUAAUUAUUUCAAUUAAAUUAUGUAAUAACAGAUGGCAGGUUCAAGCAGACCCAUUCCCAUUCUUCAAAGAUCUUCUUCAAACUUCCAUCUAUAUAUAUAUAUAUAUAUUUAUUUGUAGAAUUAAAAAAAACUGAUUACAUCAAUGAAUGAUUGAAUGAAAAGAAAAUAUUAUCUGUGCAUGCAACAAAUCAAAGACACUAGAAUGAAAAUGAGGUAGGAAAAUCAAAUAAUUGCUGCCUUGUCAAGGACAUUGAAAACACACAUACAAUGCGACAAAUCAUAUAAAAACAAAUGGGUGUACAAUUAAAUGUGACCAAACAUUACAAUCCCAACAAUGAGAGAAAGACAGAGAGAGUGGGGGAGAGAGAAAAAGAAACAAACAAAUAAGUCUCGACAUCCUUUCAUGUCGAUUUCUUCCUUCAGUAUCCAUCAUCAAUCUACCAACCUGCAUCCCCACAUCAUCACAUCUAAUCAAUCAAUAGCAUAUAUGAUUGAUGUAUGUAUGUAUGUAUGUAUGUAUGUACGUACGUACGUACGUAUAUAUAUAUGUAUGUGUGUAAGUACGUAAGUACUACAAUUUACGAUAUGUCGGAGGCUCGGUUUAUUUAAACUUUCUGGCAACUGUGCUGUCAAUAGUAAGCUUACUUGUUAAAGUGUUUUGAUAAACUUGCAGGUUGAUUUUAACAACAGAACUGAUAAUUUUCUAUGACUAUAUAUCAAGUAGGCAUUCAUAAAUUAACACCUAAUACUUUCAUUCUACAGUAGAUAAAGCACCGAAUAUCAAACAAACAUAAGAAAAAUACAGAAAUUUGUUCAUGAAACUACGGAGUAACAAUAAAAGAAGAAAGAGUAAAAAUUAAUAUAUGCUCAUAAGAGAAGAAGGUAAGCUCAUGCAAAAAUCAAUUUUCUGUUAAAAGAGAAUUCACCAUGAAGAAUAAAUAUAAGAUAGGACGUUAAGAGAGAGUAGAAAGUUUUAUAAAUACUUAACUUAGAUCUAAAGAGUGCAAGUGAAACCAGCGGGUGGUGUCUUUCCGCAAGUGACAAGAAGCUGAAGAGCAAGUGGAAGAUAGAUGUUAAGAUUAAGCAGCUUGAGCUUGAGAGUAGUGCACAAGCAGACAGCAGCUUCUAACUCAACAAGUCCUUGUAGAACUGGGCAGCAUUGGUUAACAACUGGGUCACCAAGACCAAUGUGAACCAACCCACCAAGAAGGUCCACACAAGCACCCAAUUUGAGGGUGUCAAUGGGGCAUGUGGCAGCAGCUGGUGGAGGUGGUGUGUAUGAACAUGGGCAUGGCUUCCUAGCACUUGGUGGGUUAGGGAGAACUGGAGGCAGUGUAACUGGUGGGAGAGUGGGGAGGUCGACUGGUGGCUUGAUCGGCGGGACGGUCACCGGAGGGAGAGUGACUGGUGGCAAGGGAACUGGGGGUUUGACAAUGGGAGGAAGACUGAUGGGUCUAGGCUGCCUAGGUUUCCUGUGCUUCGGGUGCGGCUUGCCACACGUGCCACAGCCAAGAAUGGGAGUGGCUGUGGAGAUGAAAAGCAUGCAAAUGAUGAGGAGAGCUGAGAGUUUGGAGGAGUCCAUUUUUUUUUUUUUUUCUUUAUUUUAAAUCUCUCUUCUUUCUGUUGUUGUAAGUUGUAACAAAGAGAGAGUGAUGAAGAUUUUGCAGGAAAAGCAUAGGAGUUAUAUAGGGGGUAGUGUGCGAGCAAAAUUUUUUAUUUUUUAUUUUAUUUCUUUUUUUUUGUAAGUCUAGAAAGCAAAUCACGUGAAGAUGAGCUAAUGAGCUCAGAAGGCAGCUGUCAGAUUUGGCUAGUUGGUAUUACAAAUGCAUAAUUUUGUGUUAUUUUUUGGAGUAGGGUUCGAUAUUUUAAAAUUUUAUCUCAGAUUUUUAAUUAAAUUAUUUGAUAUUUAUCAAGUGAAUGAUGAGAUAAAUUAAUUAUUUGGAAUUUUUGAAAAUUAUCAAGCAUAAACGAGACAUCAUAUGCCACAUAAUUUAAGAUAAAAUUAAAUUUAGGAUAAAAGUUUGGAAUGUAAAUUGUUAUAUAUUACUCUUAUUUUAUGAUUCAAUUAGCAAUGGUGUUUCUUUGUUAAUUAUUGUUGUUUUGUUCGGCUGCUCUGUUUUGGCUUGCAAAACGUCAUCGCGUUGUUACUCCAGUUAAUGUUAAUGUUAUUUUUCGAGGGAAUCAAAAAAUUAUCUUCGAUGAAUGUUAGGAAACAUCACUCAAGAAAUUAAUCAGAAAGUAGUUUUUUUUUUUUUUUUUUGUCCUCAAAAGUAACAUUAAUCUAGCACUGACAUACUCCCCCCCCCCCCCCCCCCCCCCCCCAAAUCUAACAUUCACAAAAAAAAACAAUAAAGAUGUUCAAAAUAUUUUAAAAAAUAAGUGAUCCGAAAACAAAUUAAUGUCUAAUAAUUUGAAGAACUAAAGAAGAAUUUAUCAUAGUUUUGUCUUUGACAUUUACUUGGCAACAAUUUUUAAGAAUUUUGCUUUGGUUUUUGUCUUACGUACAUAUUCUUAUGAAAGUUAAUGCAAAUUCUUCAGUGAUAAAUGUUGAAGAAUAAAACAAUAUUGAUAAAUAAGGAGAGUAGCUCUGUCCCAGUAGCAUGGGUACACAAAUUGUUUGGCUUCACUUUGUAAAAAGUGAGCCAAUUACCUUCGGAAUUUGGAUCAUUGGAUGAGUGAAAUGGAUUUACAUUCACAAGAGGCAUGUAAGCCUCAUGAUCAUGAACAAAUAAGAGAUUACGGCUCCGUUUGGGAUUCACGCUGAUUAAUGUUUAGUAAAUAUUAAUUAUUAUAACUUGCAAGUAAAGUUGAUUUAAUUUUACAUUUAUAUUAUAAAAAAUUUAUUAUAUUUUUAUUAAUUUUAUUAAAAUUUUUAUUUAAAAAUUACAUUUACUAUAUACAAUUAAUUGUGGAUGUCAAACUCAAAUUGUGGAUGGUUAGAAUCCCAGAAUAAGAAGAAAAUUUGAUUAUUCUAACGCUAAACAAUAAAAGGCAGGGGAAAAGGAAAAAAAAAAAAAAAAGAUCCAGAAGCGUUACUCUAUAUAUCAUAUUCAUAGGGCAAAAGGGGUUUGGUAUCCUUUUUUUGUCUUUUUUAAGGUCAACUAUGAUGGAGUCCUAUAAUUUGUUAUAAAAAUAAAAAAGUUAAAUUUUUUUAAAUUUUUACAUAUUAGUCCCACACCUUCAAAUAUUCAGUUGCAUUAAUGCUUCUGGAAGCCACAAUUUUCAGGACAAAAACUCAAUUAAAUUUAUUCCUUUUAUUUUAGGACAAAAAUUCAACCAAAAAUACAAAACUCAUUGCUCAAACAAACAAAAAUGAUUUUAUAAAUUCAUAAACUAACACUUUAUUAUUAUUAGUAAAUUAAAAUAUUUUUACUACAUAAUUAAAUAUUUUAGUAUGUUAAUUAAAUAUUAUGUUAUAAAAAAAUAAUAAAACAUUACCUACUAGAAUAUCAAAUUAAAUUUAUUUUCAUAUUUUGUGUAUUUCAUCUACUUGACAUAUAAAAUCUCUUGUUUAAAAAAAAAAAAAGAUAUGGGGCUUGAACCCUGCUCACAUGGGUGAAAGAAAAUUGGUUGCCGUGUUAAAUUAAAAAAAAAUCACAUUUAUAUUUAUCAUCAAUUAUGGUUAGUAAAUAAUUUACAUAGUUUAACUAUGAAUUUACAUAGCUUAAUUAUGUAAUAAAUUAGUUAAUAUAUUAAUUAAUAAGUAAAUUUAUUAAUUUAAAUAGAUAUUAAUAAAUGUAAGAAUAAGUCAUUUAAUUGAAAACCUAGUUCAAUAGAGUAAAAAAAAAUUAAAAUAUUGUGGACUUAUAUGUCAUGAUUGUAAAACUUUUGAUUUUUUUUAUUUUACAUGAACAACAAGGGCCUUUAAUAUUAAUGGCCCAAUAAUCACAUCUACCCAUUAUACAACUCUUUACGUUAAAUCCAACGGUAGAUUUGAAAAAGAUAAAAGAAGGGGUACCAAACCCCACAGGUAUAGUAGCUGGGCCCCGUAUUCAUAUAUGUUUAAAUCAGAAAAGAUUUUCAUAAUUAAAUAUAUAUACCCUACAAGUAUAAGACGCGGUUUUGUAUGAUCCACUAAUCCGUUCUUUUGCGGAAAAGAUCCCGCAGUCAAGCCACUAAAUUACGCUCACAAUUUCGAUAGUGGAAGUCAAUGGACCAAUUUGCUGCUGCAUAAACGUCAGCCUUAAAUUAACGAAAAGAAAAUCUAAUAAAAUAGACCCACUUAUGCCUUGCGACUUUCUCUUUUCUUUUCUUUUCUUUUUUUCUUUGGGUGAAAAUAAACAAAAUCUUAUCAUCAAUAAAUAUAUUAUAAUAUGAGGUUUUGGUAACUCUAGAAAGAUUAGACUAAGGUGGCGUUUGUUUUUUUGUCUGAAAUCUGAAUAGACCUGAAUUAGUCUGAAUUCUGAAUAGAUCUGAAUGUCUGAAUCUGAAUAAUAUGUUUGUUUUUUCGUCUGAAUCUCGAAAAAUAAUUAUUAAGUUGUUUGUUUUUUUCAACUUAAAAAACUGAAAAGUAUGUACUUUUACAUUUGUAUCCUUAUUAAAUUUGAAUGUCAAAUAAAUAAUAUAUUAAAUACCACAAUAUUUUAACAUUUAUAAGUAAAAUUAUAAUCAAGUGAAUACAUAAUGAUUUUGGAAUUUUAAUAUAUAAAAUACCAUAAAUUUCAAAUUUUAUCGUAUAUAAUAUAAAAAAGAAAAAAAACUAAUAAGAUACCUGAAAUAGUUGAUUUGCCAUUUCAUCUCGAAAUUGUCGCAUGUAAUUUUGAUCUUCCCUAGUUGAGGAGUUGAUACCAAAGUGAGGAGGGAUUUCAUGACGGCUAAAAAAAUAAUGAUGAGAUUAUUAUAUGGGGUAAAUAUCUAUGGGUGAAUUUUGGGAUAGAUAUGAAAAAUAAAUUAUAAAGUAGGGAUAUUUUUGACAUUAGAAAGUAAUUGACUUAAUUCAGAUGUCUCUAUUAAGUAAAAAGCCAAAAAAAUUGGCUUAUUUUAUUAAGUCAAAAUUAUCUAAAAAGUCACUUUAAGUUAUAAAAACAAACAUCUCUAAUUAACUUAAUUAAUUAAGUUAAGUCACUUUAAGUCAUUAAGUUAAAAAACAAACGCCACCUAACUUAAAAAUUUACUUCCCAUUAAUUAAACAACGCCAAAUCCAUAUUUUGUGGGGGAAAAAAAAAAAAAACUCCACGAAAGUUCGAUCGAGCUAGUGAGCUUAGACCAUCCCACCGUUGAUACAAUUGGGUCCUUAAUUAGAUUAAAUUGCAAAGAGAGUCCUACCCUUUAUCGUUUUUUUCUUUGUGUGUGUGGGUGGGUGGGGUGUAUAUAUAUAUAUAUAUACAAAUAGCUUAAUCAUUUUUAAAUUUUAGGGGCCCCUCGAAGGGAGACUCAUCAACUAGAGUGGGUUACAGUGAAGGUACUUCUGGUCUUUUCUCACGUGUCGAUGAUCUGGAUUUCAUACAUUAUAUCUUCCCUAAGUAUAUACGGAUUUCAUUUUAUGUUUAUCUAAAGUUUCAAUCUUUUCGUGAACAACUAUGGGAUCCACUUAAAAGUUGAGCAAUUUCUUUUCAAAGAAUAUAGUAUAAAGUUGAAAGGACUACCCACAAUUUCUUCUUGAUUUGAAAUUUUCACGUUGAUAAUUAGUAGGCAAUCCCUAUCUUACAUGCAUGUAAGAUAGAUGGAUCCUAAUUAGUAUUAUGGGCCAAUGUCAACCCAAAGUGAGCAUUAAUUUAAAGUCAAGAAUAUUAAAAAUGGGAAGGUAAGAAGAAAGAAAUCGAGGGAGGAAAACUCAAUGAUUAUAUAUAUUGUUGAUUAGAAAUGAAGUGCUUUAUUAUUUUUUUAUUAAUUAUUAUUAUUAUUUGUCGAUGAUUAUAUACAAGAGAGACUAUUUUAUUAAGGGAUAUUAUCAUUUGUAUACUCUAUAGAUGCUCUGUUAUCAAAAAUAUUACAACACUUUGAGGGUGUAUCAAUCGUCCACCCUAAAUUGACAAAAGUUAUAUGCCGACCACCAAAUCGUUAGCUGCCGUUUAUUAUUUAUUUGCUUAUAACAUCUUGGCUGGGAUUAAAAAUUUCCUUACAAUUUUAUCAUGUUUGCAAUAUAUGUAUCAUAAGUGAAGUCCAAAAACUGGGGUUGCUAUUGUUUUCAAUUACUUUGGACACGGUUUUAGAAUUUAGAAUCAAGAAUUAUGCCCAUAAUGAGAAUUUUGUUUUCCUUUUUGGGGGUAAAGAUAAACAAGCCAUAUGAAGAGGAGAAGAGAAUGAUAGGAGCAAGAAGGAACAGUACAGCGAGGCAGGCAUGUGAAUUGAUUGGUGGAUUUUAUCUUUUGCAGGUAACGAGUGAGGCUGGAAUUUUUUGUAAUCUUGUUCAUCCGUGAUCCUGCUUUCCCCUUCAUGAUGUGAUUUGUCGGCCUUUCUCUCUUUCUCUUCCUCUAUAACCGACCUUAUAUCUCUCUCGAUCAACUGCACCUCCCUUAUCAAAUAAUGUACUUAAUUUUAGACUGUGACAAAACACAAAAAUGUUACAAAAUGAGCCUUCAAUUAGCUACAUAAAUAUUACUAUAGUUCAGUCAUCCAUGAUUGCUAAUAUCUCUGUUGAGUUAAUUAGUUUGCUAAUAUCCAUGAUUAUUUUAGCAAAAAGUUGUGAAAAAUAAUUAACUUUUUUCCAAACCAAACUAAGUAUUUAGUAAAUGCACUGGUCGCUAAUAGUAGUUAUUAUAAUCUUAGAGGUAAAUUUUGUGAAGAAAACGUUAUUAUUGUAAAAUAAAUAUUAACAGUGUAUGUUAAAUAAUAUUUUUAAUAAAUAUAACAAAGGGAUUAUAAGUUUUCGAUCAUAUAUAAGUAUAAGAUAAAAUUAAUUUAAUUUUUAAACUACAGCAAUUAAUUUUUAUUAAAUAUUUUAAUUAACGCGAUAUCUUGUAAUCUACGUAUACGCCAACACAAAAAGAAAUAAGAAAUGGGGCCGUAAUGAACAUGAGAAAAAGAUGAAUUCAGAAGAGAAUGAGCCAAUAAAACUCAUCAGUCUACCUGUACUCUGGAAUUCGCAUUAUCUGUAUAAUCAGACAGGGCGGUUAUUAAUUGGCUUUUUGUCGUGUGCAGUGUCUGCUUACUGUUUCAUUUUGUAUACCAGAGGAUCAAAUGGCUGAGGUUUGCUCAACAGAACUAAUGGCCAGGAGCAAAACUCUCUCCGGUACGAGAUCUCAUGUGGGUUACGAUCCGGUGGUCGUGGCUUGUUCAAGAUCUUGUUAUUAGAUAAAGUACACCCAUACCAAGAUACCAUGUUCAACUUUUUUUUUCUUCUUUUAAUAAAGAAUUUGUGUAGUGCAAUAAUAACAUAUGCGCACAUGGAGAUAUCAUUUUCUUAAUUAUUUUUAAGUCUAUCAUCAUCCGGAUUCAUGCACGCAGGCCAAAUUGUAAGAAGUGAUAAGAUGAAGCAGGCACGAGGCAGGUCCUUGCCUCUCCGAUAUUGUGCGGUUUGUCAUUAGAGAUCCAGUCAUUUUUCAGACGAGCCAAAUAUGGAUCCGAUGCUUAUACAGAAGAAUAUUUGGUCAUUGUGUUACACUGAAAGGCAUAUGGGAAUGGUUUUAACUCAAGCUUCGUUCGUGAUUCUAGACUCUCCCUGCCAUGUCUCAUCUACUUUUCUAUUCUCAUUUGUAGAAAAAAGAAAAAAAAUAAUAAUAUUUGGUCAUUGAUAAAUUAUCCAAAUUAAUUAUGUUACACAUCCUUCUUUUAGUGGGAUUAUGAUAGGGAUGGCAAAGAGAGCCCGUCCCACUAGAGCAUGUUUUAUAAAUACUUGAGCUUCAUCUAAAAAGCUUGACUUUGAUCCAAAAAUUUGAGAAAUAUUUACAGUUAAAAAAAAUAAUUGUAAAAAUAUUUAUUAUUUUAAUUGAAAUACACUUUUUUAUGUAUACUUUAUCCACCCGUAACAUAUAUUUAUAGUUUUAAAUCCUAUAAGCCCAACUUUUAAAGCAUAAUCCCACAAAAAAUAAAAUUUUAUAAAUUAUAAAUUUAUAAAAUAAAAUUAAAAAAAUGCACAAUGUAAAAUUCCGACAUUUUAGCCCCUAAGCGCGUGGUCAGGUUGAUUGCAGCGCAGCUGCAGCUUCUACCAAAACAUGAGUUUAAUUUUUAGGGGUGAUAAGAGGAUAAAAACUUGUAUUUGAGCUUGCUCACCCCCUUACCUUAAAAAAAAAUCAGACAUUUUAACUUGGUCUGAAAAAAGUCCAACUCAUAUAUUUUGAGAUUAUCAUUGAAAAUAAAAUUUUUGUUUUUGGAUGAUUCUUGCCUCAUUAAUUAGAGAACCACACUUUGCUUUGAAUAAUAAAAAAUUACAAAUCAUUACAAUUAUAUACAUAGGAUAUAGCUGGGAGUCGAAGCUUAACAAAUUAAGGUGAAAUAUACUGAUGCUUAUAAAUAGCGAAUCCAUUCUCCCAUAACCGAACAAACAUAUACUACCACUCGAGCCUUGAAUGACAAAAAUGGAUAAUUAGGAAGGGAGGAUAACAUUACAAAGGCGACUCUUUUAUCUCUUAAUAUUGAAAUAUGAACCAUCAAAUCAAGUAAAUAGAAGGGUUAUUUUCUUUUCUAUUUUAAAAUUAUCAUAAUACAAUUUACUGAAUAAAACUUCAGUGACUUAAGGUUAUGUUUGGGAGUUAGGAUUAAGUGUGGGAUUAGAUUAGCUUUAGAAUUAAAUAUUCUAUUGUAUGUUUGGCAACUUUGCUUGGAUUGAAUUAGGAAUGACUAAAUUUAAAUUCAGUCCUUAAUUCAUGGGAUUAACAAUCCCAAUUUAUAAGCGGGUUUAGAUGAGAUUAGAAUAAGAGAAAAAAAAAUUAUUCAUUUACAAAUUUCUUUCAUAUAUAACACCAUUUUUAUAUUUAUUAUUUAAAAUUUAAUUAAUUAUUUAUUUUAUUCAUGAUUUACUUGAUAUUUAUUUUUUAGUUUGCUUUAUAGUCUAAUUAAAUUGGUACUUUUAUUCCAAUAAAAUUAACUAUUUAAUAAUUUAUUACAAUAAUUGAUUGUAUUAGAUUUAAUAAUCACUAUUGUAAUAUUAAAAAUAAUCAUGAAAAUUGAUAAUACAAGUAAUUAAUUGAUUAUAUAUAUAUUAUUUGCUAAUUUUUUGAUAAAAUAAAAUAUAUCUAAAAUAUUUGAUAAAAAUAAAUUAAACAAUUAAAUAGGUUUAUUAAUUUAUAUUUGUUUAUUAUAAUUAUGACUAUCCAAUAACUAAUUUACUAUACAUUUAAUGUUCUUAUUAAGUACCUUUAAAUUAAUUUUAAUUAUUACUCUUAAAUAUUCAUAAAUACUUUUUGUAUUUAAAUAUGAUUUAACAUUGUUCAAUCCGAUAUUAUACUAAACAUAAUAUAAUAUUGUAUAAUCUAACUUAAUCCAAUCCAUACUAAUUUAGUUCAAUCUAAUCUGCCCGCCAAAACACAGCCUAAGAGUCUAAUAAUUCAUUGAACGAUAGCAUAGAUUUAGUCCAUCAGAGCUCUAUUUACUCGUCAUAGAUUGAUUGAUGGUAUAAACUGGAUUUGUCGAGUAUGGUUGAAAAAAUUCUCGGUUAUUUGUGGGUAUUAAUUGAACUCGAGUAAGCUUGCAAUCGGGCUAAGAAUUACAUGACCAGCGAUCCAGCCCACAAGUCAACAGACUUGAACGAAAUCGAAGCCUCUCCUCAGAUUUGCGGGCAGCCCAGAGGGUAGGCCUUUUGACACCCCUUAAACUUCCUCAUGAAAUCCCUUUUCAAUUGAAAUUAUCAAAAUAACCAAAGCUAUAUUAACUUAUUUUUCACUUUAAGUAGAAUUUCAGUAUACUCACUUGAAUGAAUUUUUCUUUCAAUUUUUUUUUUACACCAAUCACAUUUCAUAAAUUAGAUUUAUAUUUUGAAAUUUAAUUGAUAUUUUUUAGAAAUUUGUAAGAGUAAAUAAAUUAAAAUCUUAAGAUUUUUAUGUAAUUUAAAAUAAAAAUUCAAAAGAAAUAUUCUUUUUAGAGAGAAAUUUUACUGCAAGAUGGUUAAUAUUUUAUAACUCCUUCAAGAAAUAAAAUUUAAAAGGGGUGUUGUAAAAACUUUAGAAGGGUGUUAAAAGCUACACUCUAGCCCAUAUCCCUUAUGCUUUCUUGUUUAUGUAUUGGACUAUUUGGUUCGAUCGAAACUAGAUUCAAUUCCUCCAAUUAGUUAAACUAAUCCACGUGUCACUCUCCUCAAAGCCCACCUUCUUUCUUCCCGCCAAAUCCGGAUCCUCGAAAACGACAGCUUCCUCAAACUAGAAUGUCAGCAAACAAGUAACAAGCAAGCAUGCAGAAGUUCUAAAAUUCCCGAGUCCCGUUAUGCCUCUGCCUUUCCCAUCUGAAAAAACAAAUGAAAGGGGAGGGGCAAGGCAAAGACUAUCGAAAUUAUCCCCCCCAAAUAACAAACCCUAAUAAGUAAUUAAAUCGAUCGAUCAAUCAAUCAAUUGAGAACUUUUUUUUUUUUUUUUUUUUUAAUAUAAUGGGGAUAUUAUAUGGGAUGGUGGCAAGAGGGAAUGUGGUAUUGGCGGAGUUUAGUGCGGCGCAAACAAAUGGAAAUGCAAUAGCGAGACAAGUAAUCGAUAAAUUGCCGCAGGGAAUUAGUGAUAGUAAUUUAUCUUAUUCUCAUGAUCACUACAUUUUUCACGUCAAACGAACCGAUAAUCUCACCGUUCUUUGCAUGGCUGAUGAUUCCUUUGGAUGUAGGCUUUUUGUUUUUUUUGGUUUGUCCGCUUAAUUUAUUAAUUAAACCUUGUACAUUGUUCUUUUAAUGCAUUUUGAUUGAAUGAAGCCUGCUUGACACUUGACACGACGCAUAAUAUGUUUGAUUGGGCAGUUGCAUUAAGUUUUAUUUGACCAUAAUGUGUUAUAUUUCUGUUCUUCCAUGGUAUCUAGAGACUCGACAUGUAGUGGCACCACAGAAUUAAGCCUUGAUGUAGAUUUAAUGUGUCACGAUGUUUUCAUCAGGCAGUAAUAAUUUCCAUGGAUCUUCGUAGGAGUAAAUUAGAGGGAGUUUCAAGAAUAUUUGUUUUGAAAUUAAUUUCUAUAGGUCAGUAGGGGAAGUUCCAUAGAUGAUGAUCUUAAUUGACUAAUCAACUUUUGUAUUAACUUAGCUAAUAUGAGUAUUCACCGGUGAUCAUUACGUGGUCUGAGCUGGUCAUUACCAGCUAAAUGACUCACAUUGUAUAAGGAGAAAGGUUCUUUGAUGGACUAAGUUAGUUGAUCUUGGAGUUGGAUUGCUUUUUUAUUUUGAAUAAUUAUUUCAUACAUACAAAUACAAUCGUUUAAACUUUGUGCAGGGAGAAUCCCUUUUGCAUUUCUUGAAGAUAUCCAUCAAAGGUUCGUGAAAACUUACGGCCGCUCUAUUCAUUCAGCGGCUGCUUAUGCGAUGAAUGAUGAAUUUUCACGGAUUCUGAGCAAGCAGAUGGACCACUACUCAAAUGAUCCGAAUGCGGACAGGCUCAACCGUUUGAAAGGUGAAAUGAGUCAUGUAAGUUGUGUAAAAUAAUAUAUCCAUUAUCUCGGCCUUAGUUAACAGAUGAUUUAAUUAAUUAAUCUUGUUAUUGCAACAGGUUAGGAGCGUAAUGAUAGACAAUAUUGAGAAGAUCGUGGAGAGGGGCGAUCGCUUGAAUCUGCUCGUUGAUAAAACGGCCACACUGCAUAGAAAUACAAUUCGAUUCAAAAGGCAGGCACGCAAAUACAAAAGUUCAGUGUGCUGGGGAAAUUGCAAGCUUGCGUAUGUGGUCAACUAAAUCAUUUGAUAAUAAGUUUAAUUAUUCAUGUGUAUUAUAUGAGAUGGGAGUACAAUCUUAACUUCUUUUCAUAUUAAUUCCAAUUUGCAGGUCUGGUUUAGUAUGUGUAAUCUUGAUAAUCAUUUAUGUUACGCUUGCAUUUUAUUGCCGUGAUCCCCUGUGGCGUUACUGCUUCGAGUGAAAUUGGCAGGAGCAGCUCAUCUCUUGUUCUUUUAAUGACUAACUGUAAAUUCCUUUCCAUUGUAGUGGUGCAAUUUUGCUUAGCAGAGUUGUAGAGGUUUAAUAUAUGGAAUGUACAUGCAUGUUGGACUGAAGCUGUGCAAAUCAAUUUCAGAAUUUGUUGAUUUAUUAGAGGAAUAAUUUGUUUCAAUAGUAAUUUUUUUUCUCUUUUCUCCAAGUUAAUGUUAAUUAAGUUUUCCCUUUUAAAAAAGGUGAUGUCAUUAAGGUUUGAAUACCCAGAUUUUCUUCAAAUUAAGGGUUAAAAAAAAAAAAAAAAAAAAGUCACUAUCGGAAUACAUUUUGAGAGCUUCUUGAUACUACUCUCCAAAGCAUUUACAAAUAAUCGUUUUACCUAUUUUAUGUUGGUUUGCUUAAAUAGAUACAAAUAUUUCGUUACAUUUUUUUGAAAUAAAAAAACCUUAUACAUCAUUGUGAAAAAUAUCAAGUUCAAAUAUUAGUUUUCUUCUAAAAUAAUUCGUUGUUAUCAGCUAGUUAUUAACAAUUAUCCGUCAAUUCUACAUUAUUUUUUUAAUGAAUAAUUCUCAUUAAAACAGAAAAUAAUAAAAGAUAACAACGUAAUAACUGCGGAAACUCCUUUAGUAAUGCAAAAGAACUGCAGUUUAUAAGUGGAAAAUUUAGCUGCUUAAUUACAAUAUUAGUUUUUUUUUGCUUAAUAUUAAUUACAAUAUUAGUUUGAUUGCACAUCAUUAAUGUAUAAAUCAAUCAGAAAAAGACCAAUUGCAAAAAUAUUAGCAGCCCUCCUACUAGCUUUCACCGUUGUCGAGUUUUGAUAACCACCGUUGAUGCCACAUCUCAGAUUCUUGUUCUAGAUAACGACAUCGACUGAAGGUGCGUUGUUACCAAAAUAUAUGUAAAUCAUCGAGUAUUAAGACGGUUAUGAACCUUCCAUUGCUAUCAUUUUACGACAAAAAUUAUAAGGCAAUCCCUAUCUUACAUGCAUGUAAGAUAGGGGGAUCCAAAUUAUAAAUAAGAAAUUAAUCACUGAUAAUAUUUGUACGAUUAUGUACAUACUGUAAAAUGUAAGAUAGGGGGAUCCAAAUUACAAAUAAGAAAUUAAUCACUGAUAAUAUCUGUACGAUUAUGUACAUACUGUAAAGAAAAUUCCAAAUUUCGAGGGGUACCAAUGAUAAUAUGAUCCAAAACACUAUGUACGGGGGGUUUGAACGUGGUAGCUGACGGUGAAGAAUGGGAUUUGCCCGUUUUAUUUUGAAGUCUUUGACACAAAUUGAUGUUACGUAAUAUAAAUAAGAAGAUGUAUCGUAAAUCAUUAACUUACAAAAUUGAAAAAUGAAAAACUAAAAAAGAAAAAAAAUAGAAAAAGAAAAAGAAUUCAAAUAAACUUGUCCGCACAGUAGUGCCGCCCACUCACGUGACGGUCUAUGCGGGCAACGCUCUUAUGCCCUUUUCUAGUCUUAAUGCUGACAGAGACAAAUACGCACUCUUCAAUAGACAAAAGUUUUAUUUUGAUUUCAAGCUUCUCUACUUCACUCUUGAUUCGCUCUCAGAUUGCUGGUUCUCUAUUCCGAAUUUCAGUUCCUGUUGAAAGUCGUUCGAUUUUGGUUAUGAGGGAAUUGAUUUUCUAUUUUAAGCACAAGUAAUUGAAAAUUAUUGCCUUAUCUUUAACUGCAUAGUAUAGCUUGCUUACCUGGGCUUUGAUUGAUUUUUGUUCUCUUGGCUCGCAGAUUUCUUUGUCGGAAUCGGAAUGCUGAGUAUCACUUUUGUUGGCGCAUGGUUUGUUGUUUGAAUUAAAUGGCGCGAGAAGCGACAGAGCUUGUGAACUAUCUUGAAUUUGAUCAUCGAUCAACAGGAAAGAGAAAACGAGCCGCCGUUGAACAACAGCAACCUGUUUCUGUUGCGGCAGCCUCUUUGGAACCUCGUGCUUGCAUUGAGCGCUCUGAAAAUGAAAUAUCAAGCAAGCGAGCUCCUGCGGCCGCUGAAAAGCUCUGGGAUGGGUCCCUCCAACUGAGUUCUUCUGUGCACGUGUCUGCUGUUGCCUUCUUUAAAAGGUUUAUUCAGUCACUUCUCAAAUUCGAUUCCAUUAUGAAUGUUUUGCUUUUAACUUCAAUUUCGAUAUCCGUGCUUGCGUUUCACUGGCCAUCUUUCUUUGUGAAGAUAAGUUAUCUUUUCGCAUUGAUAUAGUUAGUUCAUUUGAUAACAGUAUUCUCUCAUGUCUUGCGUUAUAAAUAAGCACAAUCACCCAAUGAGUUAAUGAAGAUGGGCAUGCAUCGCUAUUUCUUUUCAUAUUAAUGAUGUGAUGACUGAUUAUUGUGACACAAUCCCACUGAACUUAUAAAUUCUCGGACCAUAUGAUUGAAGAAUUAGCGACACAUCAAUCCUAGGAAAUGUCCUUAGAAAGAAAUGAACCACUUUUAAGUAUAUAAUAUUCAUGACAUUUCUGAUUUAGAGAAUCAAUAUGAUGAAGAAUCAUGCCUUCAGCAUAGAUAUUGAAGGUAUAGGUUGAUCUUCACAACCAAAAAAAUACCAUAACAUGGACUACAAAACAAUUUGCGUGACUGCAUUUGUCAUUAACAAGGGUAAUAGGAGUCCUUCGUAAAUGCACAUAUGUAUUACGGAUAUAAUCAAGGAUCUCCCUGGCUAUUGGAUGAGAAUGCAGGACCUGGUAACAUCUGGGGCAUUUUCAACACUUAUUGUGUCGGAGGACCAGUUUGAUCUUGUACAAGUAGAGAAUUUAACUUAGUUACAAGAAGAAGAGUGGGAAAGGGGGGGCCCUGAAACAGUAUGCCUGAAAAUAGCAGCAAAUUCUCACGAUAUCACCCAAGUUGCAUAACUAAAUGCAAAACAGACCCAUCCCUGUUCCCAUACAUGGGUUUCAUGAACUUUCCUAAUGCAUAUAAUGGAGCCACCAACAGAAACACCUAAAAUCAAUUGUCUCAGUAAUUUUGUACUGAAAAUAUACUUUUAACAUUUUCUUCCUUUCCAAUUGUGAGAAUGAUUGCAGACAGAAACUAAAAUAAUCCGAUAUUCCGAAACAAAAGUUUCUGAAAGGAGCUUAUUGGUACUCAACCUAUGAGGCAGACUUGAAUGAAUGUUUACAAAAUCUUCAUAAACUUAUAAAUGAGAAGUUAGACCCAAACUGAAAAUUGAUAUCAUUUAUGAAGAAGUGAUAAGAAAAGAAAGAUUAUCAAAUUGAUUAACACUCAAGCAGAGGAUGCUACUCUGUGUCAGAAUGCAAGAUCAGAAUGUAGCUUUCAAAGGAGGACCAGUGAUGAAAGCAAGUUAUUUAACUCAAUAAACAAGGUCAGACAGUGGAACUUUCAGUUGUAGUUUCAUUUCAUGCUAAUUGUUCAACUUCCACCUGAGUACGAUAUAGUGACUCCUAAUGAUCCUAUAGAUCUGCAGUAUCCUAUUAAUAAUCUUUCCUUUUAAAUCAUUUUUUUCAGGUUAACAAGAUAACAUUCGGGGGCCAAACUCUUAUUCUUGUACCAAUCACAUCAAUUGAAGUUUUGAUAAAAGAAUUAUCAAUCAAAGUGAUUCUACCUAGUUCAUAGAUAUUUUCCCCCUAUGCACAUUUCAGACAUGGUUCACAAAGUUCUAAGAUAUUUACAUGUUAUGUGUGAAGGUUUCAGUAGCUUAUUUAUUAUUAUUAUUAUUUUUAAAUUUUGUUGACCAUGUUUCUGUUUUUUUCCUCCUUUUCUUCUGUAGUGGUGAGAAGAUGUGCGAUGUCCAGUGGUCCGAUAUUGCAGAAGUCAAAGGAAAAGUUAGAUUAGAUGCCUUUGAAAAAUAUAUUCAAGAUCUUUCUCGCUCAAGAAACAGAAGAUUGAUGGUAAGAUAUGAUUUGUUCCACAUUUCUUUAACUAGGCAGUUCAGUUAUGUAUAUAGCGCUUGUUCUUUUUUUUUUUUUCGCUUAAGAAUCUAGGUUUCCUGUUGAUAUAACUAUCAUCGAACAAAUAUGAAGAGUCUUUCAAGGAUGAAACCAUUUAAACAAAUGAAUGCUAUCUGGCGAUGCUGAAGCAUUGGAAUAUUUUAUUUUUUCAAUUAAUGAAUACUAAAUAUGUGGCUUGUAUCUUGAAAAAAAUUCAACUGUAAAGCUUCUUUCUUUUGUAUUCUUUACUUAUCUAGUUAAUUUUCCUGUGUGACUGCAUCACAGCUUAUCUUGGUCCUGUUACUCUUUUAUAUGACGAUAUUUUCAAUCUGCUUGAUGCAUGGAAACCUCAGAUCCUUAAAUUCUAUGAUUUUUCAAGUUUGUUUACAAUGUGAAGGAGCUGUUUCUUCAAUAGGAGAGCUAGGGUUCUCAAGAAAAACUAACUACAAAGACAAAGAAAGGAGAAUAUUAAUGAUUAUAAGAUAGCUUAUAUAAUGUGAGACAAAACCACCUGAAAUACAGAUUGAACAAAUGAUUAAAUUUGGUAUAUUGCGCAUGAAAACAACUUAAUCCAUAUCUGUGGUGGCUUAGUAUACUAAUCAUGUUUCCAUUUAAAAAAAUUUGGGGUACAUCUCAUCUAACGAUGUCACGCAUGAUUGGUAAGCUACUGGUGCUUAGUAGCCAGCAAUGAUGUCUGAAUAUGGCAUAUUUUCUAUUGCAAUUAUCGUCCAAACUAUCAUUCUGAUUUAAGUUAUUAAGGAAAAUGAUGAUUGAAAAAACAAUGAAAAUGCAUCCAAGGGGGGACCAGAUUAUGGAGAAGUACAUUAAGAAGGUUGAAAACAAAAUCCUUAACUAGGUCUCAAGUGCUUGGAAAGUUUUCAUAAAUGAUGUUUAUUGUACUUAUGCACCGCUACAGACAGCUAUUGUGGGCUAAGGAUUCUCAGAAAGGUGAUGACUGAUGGCUGAUGAGUGCACCAAAAAACUAUGUGUGAUAGAAAAAAGUGUUCUUAAUGCAACUAAAUGCACUCAUGUUCUAAUAUAAAAAAGAUUUGCUGAGCAAUAAAUCAUACCAUACAUACAUAAGGUAUAAUCUAUAUUCUUAUGUGAUAUAUAUAUAUAUAUCGAAAGCUUUUACUUACUAGUCAUGCAUAAUAUAUAUAUAAGAACAUAGAUUAUUCAACAAUACACAAAUGUAGUGGGAACACAUAUACAUGUUUGUCUACAUCUAUCUUCAGGUAGUCUCACUGUGCUGGAAAGAAGGCUCUUCAAUAUCUGGACUGGUAGGCAUGCAAAAGGUGAGUACAUCAGAAUGGAAGAAAAAGUUGAAUAAGGUCAUCAUGUGAUAGGAGUUCAUCUUGAGUUUACUGAUCAAUGAGAUUCAUGUUUUUCUUGUGAUCCUGAUUUACAGGUUGCAGAAAGCUACAAAGAAUGGGAGAGAGUUGGGUUUGCGAAACUAUCACCAGGAGUUGAUCUCUAUGUUUGUCCUCGGAGUGACACCAUAAUCACAAUACUGGCAAAACAUGGGUUCUUCAAGGGCAUGGCUGCUAUACUAGACUACAAAGAUUCAAUGAUUGGUUGCGUUGUGAGGAGAAAAUCUCGAGAAUCUACUGGUUCUGCCACAGAGAAAUUUUACUGCAAAAAUUGUUCCCUGUCUGAGAAGUUUUUGAACUCCUCCUUUGGCUCUUCCAAUCAUAUGUCUGCAGAAAAAGAUUUAUCCAGGGAACAGCCAAUCCAGAAAUCCAUUCGAAUUGCUCGAGAAAAAGAGAGCAACGCUCUUGAGAGUGCAGGAAACUGGGGAAAUGAAGUCAAGCAUCUAAAGACUGGUGAGUCCAACUUGGAUUGCAUAAUUUGUCUGCCAAUACUAAUUUCUCACUGACAUCUUCAGUUCUGAGACCUGAUUCAUUUUUGGAUUCCAAGUGUGUCACAGACUCUGCCUCUCUCAAAGGUUCUAUGUCACAGUCAUCUGAAGUUGAAGCACCUCCUAUACACAAGUCAAGCAUGGAGAGAACCAAACUGAGUUUGGUUGCUCAUGAACCUGUCUUGUCUGUCCUAUCUGAUGUCACAAAGCAACCAGCAUCUACUCUUGAGGACCUUCCUGAAUUUGACUUUGGAACUGCCUGUGGUAUAUUUCUAACUCCAAAGAGUGUUCAUGCUGCUACAGUUGACACGAAACUUUUGACUCGAGGAUCAAAGAAAAUGGAUGGGUUAAUGCAGCCAACCAUGCCAACUUCACAGUCACCAUCAACUUUCAACAACCAGAGAUUGGAAAUUUUAAAUCCUAUACUGUUUCCAUUGAAUGAGAUCCAGAGAAUGCCUUUGCUGAAGAAAGUUAAUGAACAUGGGGAACCACAAACUGCCCAAAGCAGAGGCAUCGGGAUGCCAGUCACUGCUACUGCAGUUAACUCGAAGAAUCUUUUCGAAGAUGAUGACAUGCAUGAAUGGCGCCCACGAAAAUUUGAGCUUUCCAAGUUGUCAGUACCGCAGGUAACUUCUCCAUCCGUAAAUUCCAGCCCCUUGGAAGUACCCAACCCAACGAUAAGGCAUUUUUCUUUUGUCCCGCCCAUAACAUCUCCACCCAUAACUUCCGUUCCCUUGAAAGCACCCAACUCAACGUUAAGAAGUUAUUCUUUAAGCCUUCCAAGGCCCUCGCCGCCGAUAAUUCAUCCAUCCAUAACUUUCGGACCUUUGAAAGUAUCCAACUCAACGUUAAGUUUUUCUUUAAGCCAUCCGAGGCCCUCGCUGGCUGUGCUGCCGUUAACUUCUCCAUCCAUAACUUCCUACCCCUUGAAAGUACCCAACUCAAGCUCAAGAAGUUUUUCUCUUAGCCAUCCGGUAGUUGCUUAUCCCCACUGUUUUAACCAUGCAUUCCCUCGUGCAAAUUAUUACCCCAUGGACACUACAGUCAGGGUGGUGCCACAGAGGCCGCCAGAAGGAUAUGUACAAAUGGUGCCAGGUUCUUCAAUGGUGAUCAGUAGCAGCGCAAACCCACAAUUCGGGCCACCUCCCAACUCAUUGGCUGUCAAACUUCCUGUAAAUCCAGUAGGAUUGGGAGGCUGGAGGCCAUGAUUUUUCAGUGCUGUGGAACUCUAAGCUUUGCGGAAACCUGCUUGAGCAAGAGAGGGCAUUGCUGAAGCUUUAAUUUUAUUUUGGCUUCCUACACAAUAGAAACCAACGUGCAGGAUGAUGCAUGGAAUAUUUAUUUUCCUGCUUGUAUCCAGAAUUUUAAAGGUUCUCAAAUAAGGGGCAUACAGUUUUUAGUUCCCCUGUCAAAAUUAUAUCGUUUUACGAUUAUUGCUUAUCUAUACCAAGAAAAGUAUAGUUGAUUUACUACGAAUUACAAUAACUGCCGGGAAAGGAAGAUGGCCUGGAGAAGAUAGGCAAGCUCUUCCAUUUAGUCCAUUUCUGUGAAACGGCACUAAUGUAUCUAGUUGCAACACACAGAAAAAAUGUGAAACUAUACAAAAUGUUUGUAACCUAUAUUCUAAAUUUACAACUUGGAAUAAUUCUAAUAUCUCUCUCUCUCGUCUUCUUUUUUUUUUUUUUUUUUUUUUAAUACUUACAGAAACAUACUUCAAGAUAAUCCAGCGCGGUUAAAGGGUACUUAGAGGUGACACUGACUCAAUUAUUACUUUAAGCAGUAAUACUUGCGUGACAGUUGAGAAUUGAGAUUCACAAAAACAGAACCCAAGAGAAAAUAAUUUUUAAAACUUUACAAUAAAUCUGGUAUCAAAUAGCUGCCUAUUACCUAAUCAAAAUCAUCAACGGCAAGCCAGUCGCUUGAUUCACCUUCUGAAUCUUUAUCCCGAGAAGUUGUUGACCGGCAAGCCCUCUCUAGGUCACCACGAUGCAUAGAACUCUCUUGGAGCUGAACCCAAUCACUUGAUCCGCUUGGUGAAAUAGCUUUAGUGCCCUCCGCUGACCUCCUGGCUGAUAAUCUACCGGGACGAUCAUUGCUCUCAUCCUCCAACUCACUGAAUGAGACAUCCUCUUCAUGAUGAAUUUCUUUUCGUGUACUCACAGAAAAACCUGUAUCUGUGUCAUCCUCUUCCAACCAUUGCUCAGUAUUCUCUUCAUCUUCAAUUUCCAAAUCUUUUGUUGCAUUAACAAUCUUAGUAACAUCCUUUUCCCUGGAUCCAAUAUUUUCUUCUUGUGUCUCACCGAUUUCACUGCUCUUUUGUGAUGCAUCAGAAGUGUUAUUCCCCACUCGUACAUUCCUCAUGGUUUGCAGCUUCUGGAGAAGCAUAUUUCUUGUUGCAAUAAUCUGCAAAGAAAUAAGACUGAUUAAGAAUGACAUUUUUUUUUCCACAGUGAUUAUUACUAGAAAGAUGUAACAAACUGGACAAUAUGUUUCUUAUACUAAAUUGUACAAUACCAUUUGUCUUCUCAUCUGGAAUCCAUAAAGAUAUGUACAGUGAUGAUGGUCAUCGGGUGUCCAUGUUUGGUAGCGGUGAUGAUGGUGUUGUUGAGAGAUUAUACUGAAACACUAACAAAGGGUUGUAGUGUUGCACAGGGAGCAGACUAACUGAUUUUCUGUUCUUUUUUUUAUUAAAGAAAAAAAUAUCCUCUCUAAAUUUCAGACUUUAAUAACAAUAGAAGCAUAUCAAUGAAUAUAACUUCCACAAAAAGGUGACAUGAUGAAAUUUACGAAAAAAAAAUAUUGUAAUAAACAUAAGGAUAGGUAGACCAUCAAGACUCAAUGCAUCAAACAAAGUUGUUUUUGGGUUUGUAUUUGGAUACAUUAUGAUUCUUCCAUAUUGUAAUUCCAGGUGGAAUUUCACAACUUCUGCUGCGAGUGGUCUCAUUAAUAAAAGAGAUUCAUAUCUUAGAAAAGGGGGAGGAAAAGUGCCUAAUGGUCAUACAAACAUGAGUGGCCCCACAAUGACUGCUUCUAGGCUUUACAUGCAAAUAAAAUUUAGAAAAGAAAAGGCGAGAUAACAUAUGAAUGGAAGUUCUUGCCUUUGGAGUUGAAAGAAGCUCAAAAUCUUCUUCAUUUAGUCUUGGGAGCAAUAAUAUGAAAUAGAUCAUCCAAAAUCGGUUGUCUCCCAAGUGAGGACGAAGGCUGAUUCUAAGAUCUGUGAAACUUGGAACCAACCGUUCAACAGAAAAAGCGUGUUCUCUCUGAGCAUCAGACAUUUCAAAAUCUGCAAAAUGACAAGCCAAAAUUCAAAACCAAUUAAAGCAGUUGUAUUAGCCAUCCAUCUCCAUUUGAUUCAAAGGAUGUGAAAAAAUUUGAGAAGAAGUAAAUAAGGCCUACAAAGUUAAUACACAGUAAUCUUCUAUAUCAAACAGAAUCUAACUUUUGGAAAUCAGCAAUUGUACUCUCACCCUAACCAUGACAUUCUCCAUUCGAGUCCCAAACUUAAUCCAAUACAAAUUUGAGGAAUCAAGCAGUAGAAAUCAAUUCUUAGAAAUUCAGCAAUCAGCCAAACCUUUUAUAUCUAUAAUCUCAUUCCUAGAAACUAGCUGCCACUAAAGCACUCAUCCACCAAUCUAAAAAUAUAAGCCAGACAACAAACUCUGCAGCGUAUGAUUCAAAGGUUCAGCUAAGGCAAAGAAGAAAUAGCAGGUAACAACUCGCAUUAGGAGGAAUGCUUUUGAGAAUCUCAAAAUAAAGCACAAAAACUCACAAUGAGAAUUUCAAAAUAAGAAGAGAUAUCAUAAAAUUUAAAAAAGAAAAUUCAACAAAAUCACCACAUCAUAGCUUCUGCAUUUGCACAAAUGUCAAAAAAAGGAAAAAAAAAUUCAAACUAAAGAGUCUCUCACCCAAGACACCAUUCUUCGCGACUGCCACUUGCCCAUCAAACAAACAGAAGCUAUGCCUAAGCCAGACAGCACUGUACCUCGACAACAACUAUUGCAUGCUGAUAAAUACCUCGGGCAAAAUCCAAACUUUCAACUCUGAUGAUAUAACCAAAUACUCCCAAAUUUUGGCAGGAUAUAAUCACACUUGUCAUUGGUAGAUAACCCCAUGAAAACUCAUCUUGACAAAUGCCAAAUUUCCAGCAUACUUGCAUUUUUAUCCAAACACGGGCAACACGUGUUCGUAUUUUUAGUGUAUCAUAUACAAAAUUUAAGGCAUGCAUAUAAAUUUACAAGAUACAUGCUACAUUUUUAUGCUGAACUAAUUUAAAAAUUGGCAAGAAAUAAGUAACGAAAUCAUAAUUAAAAACGUAAGCAAGUAAGCAAAUUAUGAUUUUACCAUCAUCUAAUGAUAAAGGGAAAUCAGUCCAACACUCAGAACGGAGAGAAAUUUCCUUAACAAACUCAACAACCUCCCCCGUUAUCCCCGCAACUCCAUCAAAUUCUUCACCGUAAUCAUCCUGAUUUCGAAACUGCAACAGGUUAGAAGCGAGUUUCGAGAAUCCAGCAACCGCUUUGUUACCAGACAGCAGCGAGAGUCCACUCUUGAAACUGCCUCCGAUUUCCACGAGAUCGUCGCGGAUACCCUGCAGCGUCGGGGAAUCGGACGGCCGCGAUUGCGACUGACUUUCGGUGAUUGGCGGUGGUGCCAAGAAGGCGGCGACUCCGCGUAAUUGACGGCCGAUAUUUUCGCCGAGAACCGAGAGCUCCUCCUUUACGCCGCCGUUUCGAUUCGUCGGACUGCUUUGCGGCGAAUCAGAGCCGUCGGAUUGAAGCGAUUUGAAGAGCCAAGACAUCGCUUUCUUCGUCUUGCUUUAUCGAUUUGGAGUGCUAUUCUGGAAUUUAAGGGAAACGGUUAAACUAAACAAAAUGUACUUUUUCUGGUUCAAGCUGUCGGUUCUUUUUAUCAGAAUACUUUACAAAAUUAUAAAAUUGUUUGUUUGCUCUCUGUUUUCUUUAUAGAACUACUGAACUAGAAUACAAGAAGCUAUUGUUUAGUUUUGACAGUGAAUCUGAUCUUGCCACGUCAGCCAUUCUCUAAAAGCGGCAGGUACUUCGCUGAUUUUCAUUGUUACGUUGUAAAUGUUCCUCCAGCCCCUUGACUGUCAGGAGGACUUCAACUUUUUUUUUUUUUUUUGGGUUUGACUUUUGGUUCAAAAGAAAUUAUAUAAUUCGUUCGUAAAUUUGUUUAUUAGAGCAGCUCUGACUUAAUUCUAGGUUAAAUUUGUUUUUUUUCAUUUUUUUUUUUUGUGUGGAUAUUAGGUCUUCUUUUAUCUCAUCACGAUAGUCAUUUAUGUUUUGUAAAUGAAUGGCUAAACCGCCCACCAUCUUAUUAUAUUCUUAUAUAUGCAUUACCCACUAAAGUUAAUGUAUUAUCUUUUAUCUAAACAAAUCUGAAAAGAGUGAAAUCUAAUUAUGUAUUAGGGGAAACCUUAAUAACCCCGGCAUUUCAAUUGUCAAAUAUUCACACUGUUCGAGUUCGACGGUUAAUUCUAUCUUUUGGGGUAUCGCCGCACCGUUUCAAUUACUCAAAGUGGUCAACGAUUUGGCAACGCUAGUCUCUCUUCAAGGCGGCUGUUACUGUGAAUUGGGGUUGGGCUGUCAUGUUUGUUAAGGACGUGUGACCAGACGAAGUUGAUACCCAACGAAUCCACCUUCCCACCUAAUCUUUUUAACCUCAACAGAAAUUUUGACUCAAAAUUUUAUGUUACAAUUUAUAAGUUAUGUACUGUAUUUUAAUUUCUCUAGUCACAGACACAUGAUUAAAUUGCUCGUAUUCAUGACAGAAAUUGUGUUGUUGCCACUGUUGAAUCAUAACCAAACCCCACAAAAUUUAGAAAUAGAAAUAGAAACUUCAUUGGCUAAAGGCAACAAUUAACAAUAAUGAAAAAAAAAACAAAACAAAGUGACGAGAGAGUACAAAAAUAUCAAACAUUUAACUUGAAACCGCAGAAUAUCCAAGAUCAACCAAUCUCAAACGUAAUGUCUCAUUGAUAUGAAUGUGGUACAUCACAAAGAUUGCAGCUCUUUUUUAUCAUCUACAAGAAAAUCUUACCAGAGCUGUCCAAGGAAAAAAUAAUAAUAAUAAACAAGAAUAAGAUUCCUGCCCGAGCAUCAACAACUUCAAACAGGUAAAAAAAAAUUAGGUAGUUUAGAAAACUAUUAUUAUCCACUUGUCAAGAUAAAUAAUCAACAAUCAAGAAACCUCCCUCUCACUAAUUAUUUAAGAAAGAAUCUCAUUCUAGCUAACACUGCACAACAUAUGGUACACGACGAUCUAUUCUUGAAACAUUCCCGCAUUUCGAAAUCCUCAACCAACUAUUCCCCACUUUUUCACCUCCAUGUUUACUGAUGUCGAAAAUAUCCUUUGUGCAAAUCAUCUACAUAAGACCUGUAUACGGGUUGUAGGCUUGAACAGGCAUACCUGAACCAUAAGGGUGGACAUUGGCUGCAUAUGGGUUUGCAAAAGGAUUUGCAGUCUGUUGUGGGGCCAUCAUCAUCAUCUGCUGCUGUUGUUGCUGCUGCAACAUAAAAGCAUGCUGCUGAUUUGCCAUGGCUGCCAUCUGCACUGAAUGUGGAGCAGAAACCAUGCCUGAGGCAUAAAAGGGAUCAUGUCCAUUUGGUUGCAUCGUUGGACCAGCCAUUGGUUGUGGCCCCCAAGUACUGUAGGUCGCAUUCUGGCUGUUUCUUCUUAAUGCAUCAUCGUACAGGCUGUCCAAUGUAAGCUUGUCCAGCCCUCCCGCCUUUUAGAUGAAUACAGUAUGUAGAGCAUCAGCAAGGCAUCACUUGAAACAGGUAACAUGUAUGUGCUGGGUGCAUAAAUGCUGAAUGUUUCUGAUCAUAAAUACUGAUUUUGUAGUGUAGUGGGAGAUAUGGCAACCUUGGGGCCUCAAUAUUUAAAAGAUAAACAGAACAUUAAGAAUAUCUAGGGAAAAUGAGUACCAAUUUGCUGGCAGCAGUGGCAUUUUCAUUUGAGCUUGGAGCAGUAACAAGUGCCAAUUCCCAGCCUGCAGUUCCAUUUCCUUGAGUUGGAGCAACGGAAGUCGGUUGCUCGACUGCAACAACCACAAUGAUGAAAUCAUAAAUAAUUUCCCAGUCGUAAAUACAAGAUAACUGAGACAACAUAAUACUAAGACUUUUGACUCUUUUCAUGUUUCUAUGACAUUAUAAUUUCAAACAUAUUAGUGAUAACUACUAAAACUUAAGUUACUAUUGCUGGCCCUCACAAGUUAGCUUACGCUUUUGGGUCAAACAGUAACUGAACUAGUUACUAGAACUGGUUUGAUCAAGUUUGCUUCAGUUAGAAUCCCCUCACAUAAAAUAAAUAAUAUACCUGGAACAAUAGCCAAAGCAAGGGCAUUCUUCUCAUCUAAUUCUGAUGCGACAGGCAGAGGAUCAUCCAAGCCCUUUUGGAAAAAUGAAGAUUUUUUUAAAAAAAAGGUGAGAGAAAGAAAGCUGAAUGGUUAAGUUCUCAGGGGAAAACAAAAAAAAUGCUAUAUGUAGAGCUAACAAGUGAUGAAGUAAAGACUAUGAGGUUACCAGUAAAUCAGGAGGUUCAACGACUGGUGCUUCUACUUUUACUGGUUCAGGAGGAGGUGGUGACGGCGGCUUUGCUUCCUCCACCUCUGGGGUCUUUUUGUAUUCUAUGGCCAUCAUUUCCUUGGGUGCAUCAACUUUAUUGUCUACCAUCUGUGUGGUAGAAUUUUAAUAUCAAUAGUUAUAUCACAAAAAUUUACAAGUGAUUAAAAGCAACUUCAAAAGUCACCUAAUUGUCUGAUAUACAUAAACGAAUGCACGAUUAUCCAUAUCCAUAUUAAGAAAACAGAUGAAAAAUAGACGCUUUGCAUGUAACCUAAUGACAUAAGCAACAAUAUUAGUUUACAAGAUUUAACAAUUAUCACUACGGAUGCCUUAAUACGAGCCUGCUGAUAAUGCUUGUGUUUUGUCAUGUGCAUGGAGACACACAUACAGACACAGAGACAUGAACACAUAAAUACAUAGAUGCAUACACAUUCACAAAUACAUUAAAUCCGUUGUCAUUCAAAACAAAACCAGAUUAAUGAAUGACAUUAGUGUACCUGAUCUUUGCGAAAUGUUGAACCCCGCGGAGCUUCUUUCACAUACUCCUCCAUGGCUUGUAGAAAUGAUGCUGGGGGCUUCAGUAUUAAUACAAAAGUUAAUCAGUAAGUAGUAUAAGACAACAGUAAUGAGAUAGAAAGCAAGAAAAAUUAGUUUUCGAAGGCACCACAAGUACAGAACUCAAACCUGCUCAAUCUUUAUAAACCUUUCUCCACGUCCAAUAUCAAGACUUUUACAUACUUCAUAAAAUUCAGAUAGUCUCUCAGCCUGAAAAAACGGACAACAAGAAUGAAACCUACUAUGAAGGGAUCAUUGUCACAACAAGAAUAUUGCAAAAGGCAAUACCUGCUGCCCAGCCCUCCUAUAUAUAUCCAGUGCCUUUAAAGCAUCAUGGCGUUGCAUCUCAAAGAACUGUCAUAGUUAAGGUUAGCAAACUUUUCUCAGCCAAGCUUAUUGAAGGAAAUAUAGACAGUUGCUUACCUUGUCAACCAAAUUUACUGUACCAUCACUUAUUGCUUGAUAUAUUUUAGUGCUUUCAGAAGCAACCUAUUUACAUCAAAGAAGACAUGUUAGAAACAAUACAACAGAAUUUUCAAAUCACAUGGAGAAAUCACAUGUUUGAUUAACAGUUCACAUACCAAUGAAAGGGCCAACUGAAUCACAAAAUUAUGAACUGCUGCCCCUUGCGGCUGUAGAAAUAUCACAAAUAUAGUCCAUUAAAAGCAAAGUUAAACAUAACAAAUGUGUAAAAGUGUGGUAUGGAUUGAUGUGCAAUCAAAGCCAUCAUUUGCAAGUAACAAGCAUACAUCAUUAUGUGUGAAACAAGUGCAUUGAUGCUUAAUUGACAGCAUCCAAAGAAUUACCUGACAGCCAAGGACACGGAAAAGAAGCAGUUGCAAAGCUGGUAAAUGCUCAAGCAAUUCGGCAGUGUCCAAAUCUUUGGUUCUCUGCAUCAAAGCUUGUAUGUGUUAGGAACUUUUCUCAUUUUGCCCUUUAUUGUUUUCCAUUGGCUUAAAUAGAAUCUACAACAACAUGUUUCUAACACCACAGCUUUUAGAAAAACAUAUUGAAAAGUUUAUGAAAGGAAGAUGAGAUGACGUCCUUUUGCAAAUAAAAAAGAGAAUGCUGGGGGAAGGAAAGGGGAAUAGAUUGUACAACUGCAAGUUCCAAUUAUUCAUCGAGUUAAAGGGUAAAAAAACUACAAACUUAUGCAAUCUAGUUCCAAAGCAUAAGAGGGAUAGUAGUAACUGUAGCAUCUGUUUACUGAAAACUUAUUAUCUAAAAAAAAAUCUUCUCUCUUAAUUCAAAUAAUGUCUAACAUAAUUUUCUCUUUUAAUUCAAAUAAUGUCUAACAUAAUUUCCUGUCUGUUUGAAUUUAAGCAGUUCUUUUUAAUUCCUCUUCUUUUAAAUGCAUCAAAGCCUAACCCAUUAAAACAGAUUGAAUUAACUGAAUGGUUAGAUGUCAUAGUGAAAUGGAGUGUAGCAAUUAAUUCUUCCACAGAUAUAAAUAA
rnacentral:lncRNA from 1 species